CAGCAGCCGCGGGAAUACGAAGGGUGCAAGCGUUAAUCGGAAUUACUGGGCGUAAAGCGUGCGUAGGCGGUGAGUUAAGUCUGCUGUGAAAUCCCCGGGCUCAACCUGGGAAUGGCAGUGGAUACUGGCUCGCUAGAGUGUGUCAGAGGAUGGUGGAAUUCCCGGUGUAGCGGUGAAAUGCGUAGAGAUCGGGAGGAACAUCAGUGGCGAAGGCGGCCAUCUGGGACAACACUGACGCUGAGGCACGAAAGCGUGGGGAGCAAACAGGAUUAGAGACCCCGGUAGUCCCUGUCUCUUAUAC
rnacentral:rRNA from 1 species